GAGAAAAGCUUUUUCGAAACCAGUCAGACUUAUUUAUAUCAGCGGAAUCUUCCUGCCGUGCAACCCCAGACAGCAUCGGAUUCAAGAGAUCCGGCGUCGGAAAAUUCCGACAGUUAUGAGAGGGCAAACGAUAGUGGACUCCAAGGGCAACCAUUCAUCCAAACAAUUUGAAGAGGUAACUGUACUGACUGUUCCAAUCCUCCGGCUAUAAGCGGUUGCAAUAGGUUCCGAUCCGGUCCAGGGAGACAACGGCUGACGCCAAAACCCUUUUGACAACUGGCUACCAACAAAUAUCGUUCAAUGAACCGCGGUUUAAAAAUUCAAUAUGAGAGAAAAUCGAUGAU